rnacentral:lncRNA from 1 species
GCCAGCCCCAAACUGUGCUGUAACCAAUAUACAUACUUCAUUUUCUUAGUCAGAGUUAUGCUAGUAUAACUAUAAGAAUAGACUACCUCCUCUCCGUUCCCUGAUAUGGUUUGGCUGUGUCACCACCCAAAUGUCAUCUCAAAUUUCAAUCCUUGUAAUCCCCACCUGUAGAGCACGGGAUCUGGUGAGAGAUGAUUGGAUCCUGAGUGUGUUUUCCCUCAGGCUGUUCUCGCGGUAGUGAGUUCCCACGAGAUCUGAUGGUUUUGUAAAGCAGUUUCCGCAGCUUUUGCAAGCUCUCACCUGCCUCCACAUAAGAUGUGCUUCUUCCACUGCUGCCAUGAUUGUGGAGUUUCCAGAGGCCUCCAAAACUCUUUGCUAUUCAGAGUGUCAUACGAGGAUCAGGACUAGCAUCACCUGGGAGCACGCUGGAACUACAGAAGCUCACAUCUCACCCCAGACCUCCUGAUUCAUAAUCUGAAUUUUUUUUUCUAUUCCAGGAGAAUAGGAGGAGAAAAUAAGGCAAAAAUCAACAGCAGCCAAAUCUGGACCAUCUAGUGACUUAUGCUCAUUGAUUAGGACUGCAUCACCUGGGUACAUUAAAUUUCAAGAAAUUCUGAGAGGUAAAUACGUUGAAUGGGGUACCUUGCCACAUCAAUAAAAAUGGGAUUCUCUAGAAAAGGAAAAAAUGAGC